GACGAACGCUGGCGGCGUGCUUAACACAUGCAAGUCGAACGGAAAGGCCCUGCUUUUGUGGGGUGCUCGAGUGGCGAACGGGUGAGUAACACGUGAGUAACCUGCCCUUGACUUUGGGAUAACUUCAGGAAACUGGGGCUAAUACCGGAUAGGAGCUCCUGCUGCAUGGUGGGGGUUGGAAAGUUUCGGCGGUUGGGGAUGGACUCGCGGCUUAUCAGCUUGUUGGUGGGGUAGUGGCUUACCAAGGCUUUGACGGGUAGCCGGCCUGAGAGGGUGACCGGCCACAUUGGGACUGGGGUGCGGCCCAGACUCCUACGGGGGGCAGCAGUGGGGAAUAUUGCACAAUGGGCGGAAGCCUGAUGCAGCAACGCCGCGUGCGGGAUGACGGCCUUCGGGUUGUAAACCGCUUUCGCCUGUGACGAAGCGUGAGUGACGGUAAUGGGUAAAGAAGCACCGGCUAACUACGUG
rnacentral:rRNA from 1 species